GUUCAAGGACUCCAUUUUGGCAUUGAAUUGGAAUUUGAAGAAAAACUGUUUCAAUAUUGGAUGUAUAUGCAAAUCACCCAGGAAAAGAUCAUGUAACAAAAGAAAUUAUAAAAGUAAAAAAAUGGAAGAAGAAAUGGCUGGAAAAAAUGAUGAUAGAGCAGCUUUUUCUUGUUAGCCACCUCGGAAGAUCAAGACAGCUGGAAAGGGCUAUUGAUAUUGUGGAAGUGUUUUCUUACAGAGGUUGCUUAUCAGACAAAGGCUAUUUAACUACAUCAGAAAGAUAAAAACAGUUGGAAAUGGCUAUUCAUAUUGUGGAAACUUUUCUCACAGAGCUUGAUAAUCAGGCAAAAUGCUGGAACACCCUUGAAAGAGUAUUUGGUGUAUGAUAACAACAAGAGAACCCAAGCAUCAAUUUAUUUUAUACUUCUGGGAAAGAAUGCAUUUGACCCAAUUUUUAAAUAUUUAUUUUUUGUUAUUAAUGUUAAAUUUUCUUCCAAAACACAAUUAGAUUUUAAUUCUCUUCAAAUAUGUAUGUAUAAUAUAGCAAGUAAACUGACAUAUAAAUCACUUAGAAUUUGGUCGGAAAUCAUAAAGUAUUUAAUAGGCAUUACUAGAAACCAAAUGUAGAUCAAAUACACCCAGAAUUACAAAAAACCUUGACCUACAUUAAGGUGACUUUCCCUUGCUUAUGAAAUGAAAUACGUUUUAAUAUCCUGCUUUUCUGUGUUCUUAGAGUGAUUCUACCCUACCCUUAUAUCAAAUAUUUCAACUGUCAAGGGUUCUUUAAAGGGUACCCAGGGGGGCCGAAUGGUUAAUACGCACACAUUUGAUCAGAAGGUCUGUCAUUGAUUCAAAUAAUUCAAUUUUCAAGGGUUCUUCAAAGUGUACGCAGUUAGGUUGGUUUCAAUUCUGGGGGGUGGACAAGGAGUAGGGUCGCCUGUCCAAUUUUGUGGGUUUUCUCCGGGACCUCCGGUUUCCUCCCACUGCUAAAGACCCUUACGCGCUAGCGAAUUAUUGAAAUAAAAUUAAACCAUAUGUUAGUCCCAAAAUGAUCUAGUUUGUGUCGAGUAGACGUUAAACCCCAUUUCUCUCUGUCUCUCUCUCUUUUGAUUCUGGGCUUGUACCCAAUUAUCCCUUGCCAUAUCCAACACUGAAAAGUGGGAACUAUGCCGGAAAAUCCAGUUGAAAUUUCGCGGCCAACGCCUUAUGCUCACUGAACCACUGUGGCUUAUGACUUGUGAUUGUAUAUAAAUCUUUUGUACAUAUGAUAUUUUUUUAUUUCAAUCCUGUAAUCUUGAAGCUUUGCUUCUUUUAUUUAUAAAAUAUUCAUUUUGUUUGGGGUUUUUUUAAUGAGGAAAAGGCUCUACAUCAUUUUAUUACUCCUGCAAAAUAGAGCAAUUUUCUUUUGUUAGUUUUCUGUGUAUGCUAGUUAUUUCUAGAUGCCUCACAAAUCACUUGUAGUGUGAUUUUGUAGCAUUUUUCAGUUUUUGAAAUUGUUUCAAUUUAGUGCAUAAUUAAUCUUAUUAGUGCUUAGUUUGGAUGUUAUUAAAUUUAGAUAUAUUUGAAUUAUAUAUUUUGGGGUAUGGGGUAGGGAUACUGUGUACAUAUCUUUAUAUUCUCAGUUCUUGUUUUGGGGUAAAGAACAAUUUAAAUAGCUAUUUUAUAUUUUGUGAUGGGUAAAGUGUGUGGGGCAAAAAACAAUUUAAAUAGCUAUUUUAUAUUUUGUGAUGGGUAAA